CCUACGGGAGGCAGCAGUGGGGAAUAUUGCACAAUGGGGUAAACCCUGAUGCAGCGACGCCGCGUGAGUGAAGAAGUAUUUCGGUACGUAAAGCUCUAUCAGCAGGGAAGAAAAUGACGGUACCUGACUAAGAAUCCCCGGCUAACUACGUGCCAGCAGCCGCGGUAAUACGUAGGGGGCAAGCGUUAUCCGGAUUUACUGGGUGUAAAGGGAGCGUAGACGGCAGCGCAAGUCUGGAGUGAAAUCCCAUGGCUUAACCAUGGAACUGCUUUGGAAACUGUGCAGCUAGAGUGCAGGAGAGGUAAGCGGAAUGCCUAGUGUAGCGGUGAAAUGCGUAGAUAUUAGGCGGAACACCAGUGGCGAAGGCGGCUUACUGGACUGUAACUGACGUUGAGGCUCGAAAGCGUGGGGAGCAAACAGGAUUAGAUACCCUAGUAGUC
rnacentral:rRNA from 1 species